rnacentral:rRNA from 1 species
UACAGAGGUGGCAAGCGUUGUUCGGAAUUACUGGGCGUAAAGGGCGCGUAGGCGGCCUUCUAAGUCUUGUGUGAAAUCCCUCGGCUCAACUGAGGAACUGCACGGGAUACUGGAUGGCUUGAGUUCGGGAGAGGGAAGCGGAAUUCCGGGUGUAGCGGUGAAAUGCGUAGAUAUCCGGAGGAACACCGGUGGCGAAGGCAGCCUCCUGGGCCAACACUGACGCUCAUGCACGAAAGCGUGGGGAGCAAACAGG